GAUGAACGCUGGCGGCGUGCUUAACACAUGCAAGUCGAGCGGAACGAUCUAGUGAACAUUUUUCGGAAUAGGAACUAGAGAAGUUUAGCGGCGGACGGGUGCGUAACACGUAGGUAAUCUGCCCUUAUCACCGGAAUAACACAGUGAAAAUUGUGCUAAUGCCGGAUAAAAUGUUUAGAAGGCAUCUUCAAGACAUCAAAGAUCCGUCGGAUAAGGAUGAGCCUGCGGCUGAUUAGCUAGUUGGUGAGGUAAAAGCUCACCAAGGCGACGAUCAGUAGCCGACCUGAGAGGGUGAUCGGCCACAUUGGAACUGAGAACGGUCCAAACUCCUACGGGAGGCAGCAGUGGGGAAUAUUGGGCAAUGGGCGCAAGCCUGACCCAGCAACGCCGCGUGAGCGAAGAAGGCUUUCGAGUCGUAAAGCUCUGUCCUAUGGGAAGAAAAAAAUGACGGUACCAUAGGAGGAAGCCCCGGCUAACUACGUGCCAGCCGCCGCAGUAAAAC
rnacentral:rRNA from 1 species